rnacentral:rRNA from 1 species
GAUGAACGCUGGCGGCGUGCCUAAUACAUGCGAGUCGAGCGAACGGACGAGAAGCUUGCUUCUCUGAUGUUAGCGGCGGACGGGUGAGUAACACGUGGAUAACCUACCUAUAAGACUGGGAUAACUUCGGGAAACCGGAGCUAAUACCGGAUGAUAUUUUGAACCGCAUGGUUCAAAAGUGAAAGACGGUCUUGCUGUCACGUAUAGAUGGAUCCGCGCUGCAUUAGCUAGUUGGUAAGGUAACGGCUUACCAAGGCAACGAUGCAUAGCCGACCUGAGAGGGUGAUCGGCCACCCUGGAACUGAGCCACGGUCCAGACUCCUACGGGAGGCAGCAGUAGGGAAUCUUCCGCAAUGGGCGAAAGCCUGACGGAGCACCGCCGCGUGAGUGAUGAAGGUCUUCGGAUCGUAAAACUCUGUUAUUAGGGAAGAACAUAUGUGUAAGUAACUGUGCACAUCUUGACGGUACCUAAUCAGAAAGCCACGGCUAACUACGUG